rnacentral:rRNA from 1 species
CAGUAACGGCGAGUGAAGCGGCAACAGCUCAAAUUUGAAAUCUGGUCCCUAGGGCCCGAGUUGUAAUUUGUAGAGGAUGCUUUUGGUGAGGUGCCGCCCGAGUUCCCUGGAACGGGACGCCACAGAGGGUGAGAGCCCCGUCUGGCUGGCCGCCGAGCCUCUGUAAAGCUCCUUCGACGAGUCGAGUAGUUUGGGAAUGCUGCUCAAAAUGGGAGGUAUAUGUCUUCUAAAGCUAAAUAUUGGCCAGAGACCGAUAGCGCACAAGUAGAGUGAUCGAAAGAUGAAAAGCACCUUGAAAAGAGGGUUAAAUAGUACGUGAAAUUGUUGAAAGGGAAGCGCUUGUGACCAGACUUGGGCGCGGCGGAUCAUCCGGGGUUCUCUCCGGUGCACUUCGCCGCGUCUAGGCCAGCAUCAGUUCGUCGCGGGGGAAAAAGGCUUCGGGAACGUGGCUCCUCCGGGAGUGUUAUAGCCCGUUGCAUAAUACCCUGCGGUGGACUGAGGACCGCGCAUCUGCAAGGAUGCUGGCGUAAUGGUCACCAGCGACCCGUCUUGAAACACGGACCAAGGAGUCGUCUUCGUAUGCGAGUGUUCGGGUGUCAAACCCCUACGCGUAAUGAAAGUGAACGCAGGUGAGAGCUUCGGCGCAUCAUCGACCGAUCCUGAUGUUCUCGGAUGGAUUUGAGUAAGAGCAUACGGGGCCGGACCCGAAAGAAGGUGAACUAUGCCUGUAUAGGGUGAAGCCAGAGGAAACUCUGGUGGAGGCUCGCAGCGGUUCUGACGUGCAAAUCGAUCGUCAAAUAUGGGCAUGGGGGCGAAAGACUAAUCGAACCUUCUAGUAGCU